AGCUCCAUGCACCUGUCAGUCCAGUCUCUCUUUCACCUCUGACAGAGAAGAGCUGUCACCUGGGACAGCACACACACGCCAUCCACGGAGCAACAUCACAGAGGGAAGCUGGAGUGUCACCCUUCAGUAGUGACAGCACCUGGGAAAGUCACAGACUGAUCAUGCCUGGACAUGAACAGAGCAGGUUGAUAUCCUAGAUGCAGCCGGCAGACUAUACCAUCCAUCACUCCUGCACCCCUGUCCCAUGCCAGCAAUUACUGAAUCUGGACAAGCAGAGCAUGGCUGUUCCAUAAAUAAACAAUGCACUAAGUAGUGUUUAUGGCUGCUGUA